ACGACGCUGGCGGCGUGACUUAACACAUGGCAAGUCGAACGAGACGAUUGAAAGCUUGCUUUUGAAAGUCGAGUGGCAAACGGGUGAGUAACGCGUAGACAACCUGACCGCAAAGAUGGGACAACAGUCCGAAAGGACUGCUAAUACCGAAUGUUGUAUCUCCUCCGCAUGGAAGAGAUAUUAAAGAUGGCCUCUACUUGUAAGCUAUCGCUUUGCGAUGGGUCUGCGUCUGAUUAGCUAGUUGGUGGGGCAACGGCCUACCAAGGCAACGAUCAGUAGGGGUUCUGAGAGGAAGGUCCCCCACAUUGGAACUGAGACACGGUCCAAACUCCUACGGGAGGCAGCAGUGAGGAAUAUUGGUCAAUGGGCGAGAGCCUGAACCAGCCAAGUAGCGUGCAGGACGACGGCCCUAUGGGUUGUAAACUGCUUUUAUAAGGGAAUAAAGUGGGUCUCGUGAGACUUUUUGCAUGUACCUUAUGAAUAAGGACCGGCUAAUUCCGUG
rnacentral:rRNA from 1 species